rfam:Rhodococcus erythropolis PR4 DNA, complete genome.
CGACCAUCCAGAGCGACCGAGAGACCUGGCUCAUUGAAGUCGCAGCAACCCCCCGAGUGAUCGGGUGCGGGUGCUACCGCCAGGACCGAUGGAGG